rnacentral:lncRNA from 1 species
AAGGGAUUUGGUCUCGUUGAAAGGUGAUCAGGGAUGGUGAUUUGCAGGUUGUGUCCACUUGGAUUCUUGGUGCAUGAUGAAAGUCUCCCCCAAACACAAUCGUAACCCAGCUCUGCAUUUUGGUUCAAUCUUGAGGCACCCAGGGAGGACACUUGGAAGGAAAGCAUCCACCUUGGUCUGUUUCUCUUGUGUGAGCUCAGCUCUCCCAGGUGUCAUAGUGGGCACGGCCUCGAGGGGGCAGUGUCCACUCAGAGAUGUGCCCAACUGCCCUGGGAAGCAAGCCCUGGGAGGGCCUUGUUGGAAAGGUUCCAGCCUGCCAGGCCAGAUUCACGAAGGCUGAAUCCUCAGAACACAUAGAAGAGGGGGUUCUCUGGCAGCACCCCUCUCAGGAGUUUGAAGCAACCAGGGGCAGUAAGGAGCAAGCAGCUGCGAGAUGUGGAUUCCUCAGGCCGUGCCCCCAUGUGCUGGAAAACAGGUGGCAGAGGUUACUCUGCCUGGUGUGUACACAUACAUGGUUUGUUUGAUCAUAUCCGGUAUAAACCCUACUCGAAAA